UACGAAGGGGGCUAGCGUUGUUCGGAAUUACUGGGCGUAAAGCGCGCGCAGGCGGUUUCUCAAGUCAGUGGUGAAAGCCCGGAGCUCAACUCCGGAACUGCCAUUGAAACUGUGAAACUUGAGGACGAGAGAGGUGAGUGGAAUUCCCAGUGUAGAGGUGAAAUUCGUAGAUAUUGGGAAGAACACCGGUGGCGAAGGCGGCUCACUGGCUCGUUUCUGACGCUCAGGCGCGACAGCGUGGGGAGUCAAACAGG
rnacentral:rRNA from 1 species